rnacentral:rRNA from 1 species
UAGGGAAUAUUGGACAAUGGGCGAAAGCCUGAUCCAGCAAUGCCGCGUGAGUGAUGAAGGCCUUGGGUUGUAAAGCUCUUUUACCCGGGAUGAUAAUGACAGUACCGGGAGAAUAAGCCCCGGCUAACUCCGUGCC